GAUGAACGCUGGCGGCGUGCCUAAUACAUGCAAGUCGAGCGAACAGACGAGGAGCUUGCUGCUCUCACGUUAGCGGAGGGCGGGUGAGUAACACGUGGAUAACCUACCUAUAAUACUGGUAUAACUUCGGGAAACCGGAGCUAAUACCGGAGAAUAUCUUGAACCGCAUGGUUCAUUGGUGAAUGACGGUUUUGGUGUCUCUUAUCGAUGGAUAUGCGCCGGGUUAGGUGGUUGGGAAGGUCACGGCUUACGAAGGCAACGAUGCGUGGCCGAGGUGAGAGGCUGAUCGGCCACACGAGAGCGUAGACGCGGUCAAUGGUACUACGGGACGCAGCAGUAGGGAAUGGUCCGCAAUGGGCGGGAGCCUGGCGCAACAACGCCACGUGAGUGAUAAAAGUCCUGGGAUCGGAAAACCCUGUUAUUAGUGAAAAACAACUGUGGAAGUAACUAUGCACUUCUUGACGGUACCUAAUCAGAAAGCCACGGCUAACUACGUG
rnacentral:rRNA from 1 species